rnacentral:rRNA from 1 species
AUUAUGGCGUCAGGAUGAACGCUAGCGACAAGGCUUAACACAUGCAAGUCGAGGGGCAGCAUAAAAGUAGCAAUACUUGGUGGCGACCGGCGCACGGGUGAGUAACGCGUAUGCAACCUACCUAUCAGAGGGGAAUAACCCGGCGAAAGUCGGACUAAUACCGCAUAAAACAGGGGCACCGCAUGGUGAUAUUUGUUAAAGAAAUUCGCUGAUAGAUGGGCAUGCGUUCCAUUAGGUAGUUGGUGAGGUAACGGCUCACCAAGCCGACGAUGGAUAGGGGAACUGAGAGGUUGGUCCCCCACACUGGUACUGAGACACGGACCAGACUCCUACGGGAGGCAGCAGUGAGGAAUAUUGGUCAAUGGGCGGGAGCCUGAACCAGCCAAGUCGCGUGAAGGAAGAAGGAUCUAUGGUUCGUAAACUUCUUUUGCAGGGGAAUAAAGUGCAGGACGUGUCCUGUUUUGUAUGUACCCUGAGAAUAAGGAUCGGCUAACUCCGUGCCAGCCGCGGC